GACGAACGCUGGCGGCGUGCUUAACACAUGCAAGUCGAACGGAAAGGCCCUGCUUUUGUGGGGUGCUCGAGUGGCGAACGGGUGAGUAACACGUGAGUAACCUGCCCUUGACUUUGGGAUAACUUCAGGAAACGGGGGUUACUACCGGAUAGGAGCCCCGCCUGCAUGGGGGGGGUUGGAAAGUUUCGGCGGUUGGGGAUGGACUCGCGGCUUAUCAGCUUGUUGGUGGGGUAGUGGCUUACCAAGGCUUUGACGGGUAGCCGGCCUGAGAGGGUGACCGGCCACAUUGGGACUGAGAUACGGCCCAGACUCCUACGGGAGGCAGCAGUGGGGAAUAUUGCACAAUGGGCGGAAGCCUGAUGCAGCAACGCCGCGUGCGGGAUGACGGCCUUCGGGUUGUAAACCGCUUUCGCCUGUGACGAAGCGUGAGUGACGGUAAUGGGUAAAGAAGCACCGGCUAACUACGUG
rnacentral:rRNA from 1 species